rnacentral:tRNA from 1 species
GGAAGUUCUGGGGAGGUCGGAGGCCUCAGCCUCUUGUUGGGGGGCUCGGUGGCUAUGGUUCGUCCCGUUGGCUUAUC